GGGUUGUGAGGUUAAGCGACUAAGCGUACACGGUGGAUGCCCUGGCAGUCAGAGGCGAUGAAGGACGUGCUAAUCUGCGAUAAGCGUCGGUAAGGUGAUAUGAACCGUUAUAACCGGCGAUUUCCGAAUGGGGAAACCCAGUGUGUUUCGACACACUAUCAUUAACUGAAUCCAUAGGUUAAUGAGGCGAACCGGGGGAACUGAAACAUCUAAGUACCCCGAGGAAAAGAAAUCAACCGAGAUUCCCCCAGUAGCGGCGAGCGAACGGGGAGGAGCCCAGAGCCUGAAUCAGUGUGUGUGUUAGUGGAAGCGUCUGGAAAGGCGCGCGAUACAGGGUGACAGCCCCGUACACAAAAAUGCACAUAUUGUGAGCUCGAUGAGUAGGGCGGGACACGUGGUAUCCUGUCUGAAUAUGGGGGGACCAUCCUCCAAGGCUAAAUACUCCUGACUGACCGAUAGUGAACCAGUACCGUGAGGGAAAGGCGAAAAGAACCCCGGCGAGGGGAGUGAAAAAGAACCUGAAACCGUGUACGUACAAGCAGUGGGAGCCUCUUAAUGGGGUGACUGCGUACCUUUUGUAUAAUGGGUCAGCGACUUAUAUUCUGUAGCAAGGUUAACCGAAUAGGGGAGCCGAAGGGAAACCGAGUCUUAACUGGGCGUUAAGUUGCAGGGUAUAGACCCGAAACCCGGUGAUCUAGCCAUGGGCAGGUUGAAGGUUGGGUAACACUAACUGGAGGACCGAACCGACUAAUGUUGAAAAAUUAGCGGAUGACUUGUGGCUGGGGGUGAAAGGCCAAUCAAACCGGGAGAUAGCUGGUUCUCCCCGAAAGCUAUUUAGGUAGCGCCUCGUGAAUUCAUCUCCGGGGGUAGAGCACUGUUUCGGCAAGGGGGUCAUCCCGACUUACCAACCCGAUGCAAACUGCGAAUACCGGAGAAUGUUAUCACGGGAGACACACGGCGGGUGCUAACGUCCGUCGUGAAGAGGGAAACAACCCAGACCGCCAGCUAAGGUCCCAAAGUCAUGGUUAAGUGGGAAACGAUGUGGGAAGGCCCAGACAGCCAGGAUGUUGGCUUAGAAGCAGCCAUCAUUUAAAGAAAGCGUAAUAGCUCACUGGUCGAGUCGGCCUGCGCGGAAGAUGUAACGGGGCUAAACCAUGCACCGAAGCUGCGGCAGCGACACUAUGUGUUGUUGGGUAGGGGAGCGUUCUGUAAGCCUGUGAAGGUAGCCUGUGAGGGUUGCUGGAGGUAUCAGAAGUGCGAAUGCUGACAUAAGUAACGAUAAAGCGGGUGAAAAGCCCGCUCGCCGGAAGACCAAGGGUUCCUGUCCAACGUUAAUCGGGGCAGGGUGAGUCGACCCCUAAGGCGAGGCCGAAAGGCGUAGUCGAUGGGAAACAGGUUAAUAUUCCUGUACUUGGUGUUACUGCGAAGGGGGGACGGAGAAGGCUAUGUUGGCCGGGCGACGGUUGUCCCGGUUUAAGCGUGUAGGCUGGUUUUCCAGGCAAAUCCGGAAAACCAAGGCUGAGGCGUGAUGACGAGGCACUACGGUGCUGAAGCGACAAAUGCCCUGCUUCCAGGAAAAGCCUCUAAGCAUCAGGUAACAUCAAAUCGUACCCCAAACCGACACAGGUGGUCAGGUAGAGAAUACCAAGGCGCUUGAGAGAACUCGGGUGAAGGAACUAGGCAAAAUGGUGCCGUAACUUCGGGAGAAGGCACGCUGAUAUGUAGGUGAAGCGACUUGCUCGUGGAGCUGAAAUCAGUCGAAGAUACCAGCUGGCUGCAACUGUUUAUUAAAAACACAGCACUGUGCAAACACGAAAGUGGACGUAUACGGUGUGACGCCUGCCCGGUGCCGGAAGGUUAAUUGAUGGGGUUAGCGGUAACGCGAAGCUCUUGAUCGAAGCCCCGGUAAACGGCGGCCGUAACUAUAACGGUCCUAAGGUAGCGAAAUUCCUUGUCGGGUAAGUUCCGACCUGCACGAAUGGCGUAAUGAUGGCCAGGCUGUCUCCACCCGAGACUCAGUGAAAUUGAACUCGCUGUGAAGAUGCAGUGUACCCGCGGCAAGACGGAAAGACCCCGUGAACCUUUACUAUAGCUUGACACUGAACAUUGAGCCUUGAUGUGUAGGAUAGGUGGGAGGCUUUGAAGUGUGGACGCCAGUCUGCAUGGAGCCGACCUUGAAAUACCACCCUUUAAUGUUUGAUGUUCUAACGUUGGCCCGUAAUCCGGGUUGCGGACAGUGUCUGGUGGGUAGUUUGACUGGGGCGGUCUCCUCCUAAAGAGUAACGGAGGAGCACGAAGGUUGGCUAAUCCUGGUCGGACAUCAGGAGGUUAGUGCAAUGGCAUAAGCCAGCUUGACUGCGAGCGUGACGGCGCGAGCAGGUGCGAAAGCAGGUCAUAGUGAUCCGGUGGUUCUGAAUGGAAGGGCCAUCGCUCAACGGAUAAAAGGUACUCCGGGGAUAACAGGCUGAUACCGCCCAAGAGUUCAUAUCGACGGCGGUGUUUGGCACCUCGAUGUCGGCUCAUCACAUCCUGGGGCUGAAGUAGGUCCCAAGGGUAUGGCUGUUCGCCAUUUAAAGUGGUACGCGAGCUGGGUUUAGAACGUCGUGAGACAGUUCGGUCCCUAUCUGCCGUGGGCGCUGGAGAACUGAGGGGGGCUGCUCCUAGUACGAGAGGACCGGAGUGGACGCAUCACUGGUGUUCGGGUUGUCAUGCCAAUGGCACUGCCCGGUAGCUAAAUGCGGAAGAGAUAAGUGCUGAAAGCAUCUAAGCACGAAACUUGCCCCGAGAUGAGUUCUCCCUGACUCCUUGAGAGUCCUGAAGGAACGUUGAAGACGACGACGUUGAUAGGCCGGGUGUGUAAGCGCAGCGAUGCGUUGAGCUAACCGGUACUAAUGAACCGUGAGGCUUAACCUUACAACGCCGAAG
rnacentral:rRNA from 1 species